rnacentral:rRNA from 1 species
AUUGAACGCUGGCGGCAGGCCUAACACACGCAAGUCGAACGGUAACAGGAAACAGCUUGCUGUUUCGCUGACGAGUGGCGGACGGGUGAGUAAUGUCUGGGAAACUGCCUGAUGGAGGGGGAUAACUACUGGAAACGGUAGCUAAUACCGCAUAACGUCGCAAGACCAAAGAGGGGGACCUUCGGGCCUCUUGCCAUCGGAUGUGCCCAGAUGGGAUUAGCUAGUAGGUGGGGUAACGGCUCACCUAGGCGACGAUCCCUAGCUGGUCUGAGAGGAUGACCAGCCACACUGGAACUGAGACACGGUCCAGACUCCUACGGGAGGCAGCAGUGGGGAAUAUUGCACAAUGGGCGCAAGCCUGAUGCAGCCAUGCCGCGUGUAUGAAGAAGGCCUUCGGGUUGUAAAGUACUUUCAGCGGGGAUGAAGGGAGUAAAGUUAAUACCUUUGCUCAUUGACGUUACCCGCAGAAGAAGCACCGGCUAACUCCGUG